rnacentral:rRNA from 1 species
UACGAAGGGGGCUAGCGUUGCUCGGAAUCACUGGGCGUAAAGCGCACGUAGGCGGCUUGUUAAGUCAGGGGUGAAAUCCUGGAGCUCAACUCCAGAACUGCCUUUGAUACUGAGGAUCUUGAGUACGGGAGAGGGUGAGUGGAACUGACGAGUGUAGAGGUGAAAUUCGUAGGUAUUCGCAAGAACACCAGUGGCGAAGGCGGACUCACUGGCCCGUAACUGACGCUGAGGCACGAAAGCGUGGGGAG